rnacentral:misc_RNA from 1 species
AACGCACAUUGCGCCCUGUGGUAUUCCGCAGGGCAUGCCUGUUCGAGCGUCAGUACAACACUCAAGCCUAGCUUGGUCUCGGGCCUCGCCGGAGACGGCGGGUCUUAAAAUCAGUGGCGGCGCCUGUUAGGCCCUAAGCGUAGUAAUACUCCUCGCUACAGGGACCCGGCAGACGCUGGCCAGCAACCCCCAACUUUCUAAGUUUGACCUCGGAUCAGGUAGGGAUACCCGCUGAACUUAA